rnacentral:rRNA from 1 species
GACGAACGCUGGCGGCGUGCUUAACACAUGCAAGUCGAACGGAAAGGCCCUGCUUUUGUGGGUUGCUCGAGUGGCGAACGGGUGAGUAACACGUUAGUAACCUGCCCUUGACUUUGGGAUAACUUCAGGAAACUGGGGCUAAUACCGGAUAGGAGCUCCUGCUGCAUGUUGGGGGUUGGAAAGUUUCGGCGGUUGGGGAUGUACUCGCGGAUUAUCAGCUUGUUGGUGGGGUAGUGGCUUACCAAGGCUUUGACGGGUAGCCGGCCUGAGAGGGUGACCAGACACAUUGGGACUGAGAUACGGCCCAGACUCCUACGGGAGGCAGAAGUGGGGAAUAUUGCACAAUGGGCGGAAGCAUGAUGCAGGAACGCCGCGUGCGUGAUGACGGCCUUCGGGUUGUAAACCGCUUUCGCCUGUGACGAAGCGUGAGUGACGGUAAUGGGUAAAGAAGCACCGGCUAACUACGUG